UCCGUAGGCGGUGUGGCAAGUCGGUAGUGAAACCUCUGGGCUUAACCCAGAGACUGCUGCCGAAACUGCUGUGCUAGAGUGUGAGAGAGGCGAGUGGAAUUACGGGUGUAGCGGUGAAAUGCGUAGAUAUCCGUAGGAACAUCCGAGGCGAAAGCGGCUCGCUGGAUCACAACUGACGCUGAGGGACGAAAGCUAGGGGAGCAAAACAGGAUUAGAUACCCCUGGUAGUCCUAGCCCUAAACCAUCAGGACUUGGGGUUUGCCCUGUACGGGGCAAGUCCCGUAGCUAACGCGUUAAGUCCUGCGCCUGGGGAGUACGGUCGCAAGGCUGAA
rnacentral:rRNA from 1 species